AAGUCGUAACAAGGUUUCCGUAGGUGAACCUGCGGAAGGAUCAUUAAAUAAUUUAGAUGGCCUUUGCUAGUUUUCUAGCGAAUGGUUCAUUCUUUUUUACUGUGAACUGUUUUAAUUUUUCAGCGUCUGAGGAAUGUCUUUUAGCCAUAGGGAUAGGCUACUAGAAUGUUAACCGAGCUGAAAGUCAGGCUUAGGCCUGGUAUCCUAUUAAUUAUUUACCAAAAGAAUUCAGUAUUAUAAUUGUAACAUAAGCGUAAAAAACUUAUAAAACAACUUUUAACAACGGAUCUCUUGGCUCUC
rnacentral:misc_RNA from 1 species